rnacentral:rRNA from 1 species
GACGAACGCUGGCGGCGUGCUUAACACAUGCAAGUCGUACGGUAAGGCCCUUUCGGGGGUACCCGAGUGGCGAACGGGUGAGUAACACGUGAGUAACCUGCCCACAACUUUGGGAUAACGCUAGGAAACUGGUGCUAAUACUGGAUAUGUGCUCCUGCUGCAUGGUGGGGGUUGGAAAGCUCCGGCGGUUGUGGAUGGACUCGCGGCCUAUCAGCUUGUUGGUGGGGUAGUGGCCUACCAAGGCGGCGACGGGUAGCCGGCCUGAGAGGGUGACCGGCCACAGUGGGACUGAGAUACGGCCCAGACUCCUACGGGAGGCAGCAGUGGGGAAGAUUGCACAAUGGGCGCAAGCCUGAUGCAGCAACGCCGCGUGCGGGAUGACGGUCUUCGGGUUGUAAACCGCUUUCAGCAGGGACGAAGCUUUUUGUGACGGUACCUGCAGAAGAAGCACCGGCUAACUACGUG